rnacentral:rRNA from 1 species
ACGGCUCAGUAACACGUGGCUAAUCUGCCCUUGGGACAGGAACAACCCCGGGAAACUGGGGCUAACUCUUGAUAGGCGAAGAACUCUGGAAUGAGUCUUUACCUAAAUAGUGCAACGUUAUGCUCGUUGCAUCGCCCAAGGAUGAGGCCGCGACCGAUCAGGUUGUUGGCGAGGUAAUGGCUCACCAAGCCUUUUACCGGUGCGGGCCGUGGGAGCGGGAGCCCGGAGAUGGGCACUGAGACAAGGGCCCAGGCCCUACGGGGCGCAGCAGUCGCGAAAACUUUGCAAUAAGCGAAAGCUUGACAGGGCUAUCCCGAGUGCCAUCCGCUGAGGAAGGCUUUUACCCAGUCUAGAACGCUGGGGGAAUAAGGAGAGGGCAAGUCUGGUGUCAGCCGCCGCGGUAAUACCAGCUCUCCGAGUGGUGUGGAUGUUUAUUGGGCCUAAAGCAUCCGUAGCUGGCUAAGUUAGUCCCUUGUUAAAUCCACCGAAUUAAUCGUUGGAUUGCGGGGGAUACUGCUUGGCUAGGGGACGAGAGAGGCAGACGGUAUUUUCGGGGUAGGGGUGAAAUCCUAUAAUCCCGGGAAGACCACCAGUGGCGAAGGCUGUCUGCUAGAACGCGCCCGACGGUGAGGGAUGAAAGCUGGGGGAGCGAACCGGAUUAGAUACCCGGGUAGUCCCAGCUGUAAACGAUGCAGGCUAGGUGUUUGGACGGCCACGUGCCGUUCUAGUGCCGCAGGGAAGCUGUUAAGCCUGCCGCCUGGGGAGUACGAUCGCAAGAUUGAAACUUAAAGGAAUUGGCGGGGGAGCAC